rnacentral:lncRNA from 1 species
GAAACAUCUCAGGACACUUUCAGACAGUGCCCCUUGAAAAUCUCAUAAAGCUUACCCCUCACCACAGUCAAAGGCACAUAAGUAAAUCCACAUAGGUUUACAUGCAACUGCAGAAGGUUUGUAAACACUCUCUCCUCCCUGAAAAUCUAUUGAUGGUGGCGGGGGACAGGAGUGUGGUCAUUGGAUCCUAGGUUAAAAGUCGUGGAACUGGGAGGAUUUUUACAGUUACUAGAAAUGUAAAUGCAAACAAAAUUUCUAACGUCACUUAACACUGGUAGAAUGACUACAAAAAUUUAAGAAGUUAGAGCCACUUAGAAAGUUCCUAAAAUAUCAGGGAGAGCAUGUCUCACUCUUACAUCAGAAUUCUAGAAAAUUCAGGAAGCAAAUUUAUUUUAAAUACUUUUUGUUACAAGG